AGAGUUUGAUCCUGGCUCAGGAUGAACGCUGGCGGCGUGCCUAACACAUGCAAGUCGAGCGAUUCUCUUCGGAGAGCGGCGGACGGGUGAGUAACGCGUGGGUAACCUGCCCUGUACACACGGAUAACAUACCGAAAGGUAUGCUAAUACGGGAUAAUGUACUUUUGUCGCAUGGCAGAAGUAUCAAAGCUCCGGCGGUACAGGAUGGACCCGCGUCUGAUUAGCUAGUUGGAGAGGUAAUGGCUCACCAAGGCAACGAUCAGUAGCCGACCUGAGAGGGUGAUCGGCCACAUUGGAACUGAGACACGGUCCAAACUCCUACGGGAGGCAGCAGUGGGGAAUAUUGCACAAUGGGCGAAAGCCUGAUGCAGCAACGCCGCGUGAGCGAUGAAGGCCUUCGGGUCGUAAAGCUCUGUCCUCAAGGAAGAUAAUGACGGUACUUGAGGAGGAAGCCCCGGCUAACUACGUGCCAGCAGCCGCGGUAAUACGUAGGGGGCUAGCGUUAUCCGGAAUUACUGGGCGUAAAGGGUGCGUAGGUGGUUUCUUAAGUCAGAGGUGAAAGGCUACGGCUCAACCGUAGUAAGCCUUUGAAACUGAGAAACUUGAGUGCAGGAGAGGAGAGUAGAAUUCCUAGUGUAGCGGUGAAAUGCGUAGAUAUUAGGAGGAAUACCAGUUGCGAAGGCGGCUCUCUGGACUGUAACUGACACUGAGGCACGAAAGCGUGGGGAGCAAACAGGAUUAGAUACCCUGGUAGUCCACGCCGUAAACGAUGAGUACUAGGUGUCGGGGGUUACCCCCCUCGGUGCCGCAGCUAACGCAUUAAGUACUCCGCCUGGGAAGUACGCUCGCAAGAGUGAAACUCAAAUGAAUUGACGG
rnacentral:rRNA from 1 species